GGUGCCUGGCAGGCUCAGUUGGUGGAACAUGUGACUCUUGAUCUCAGGUUUCUCAGUUCAAGCCCCACGUUGGGUGUAGAAAUUACUUAAAAAUAAAAUCUAAA